UACGUAGGGGGGCUAGCGUUGUCCGGAAUCAUUGGGCGUAAAGCGCGUGUAGGCGGCCCGAUAAGUCCGCUGUGAAAGUCCAGGGCUCAACCCCUGGGGAUGCCGGUGGAUACUGUCGGGCUCGAGUCCGGAAGAGGCGAGUGGAAUUCCUGGUGUAGCGGUGAAAUGCGCAGAUAUCAGGAGGAACACCAAUGGCGAAGGCAGCUCGCUGGGACGUGACUGACGA
rnacentral:rRNA from 1 species